CGGGGUGCACCAGGCGCGAAAACUCUACAAUGCAGGCAACUGCGAUAGGGGAACAUCGAGUGAUCCUCAUAUUGGGGGUCUGUCCACCCGCCUAAAAAGCGGGUGUUAGCAAGGGCCGGGCAAGACCGGUGCCAGCCGCCGCGGUAAUACCGGCGGCUCGAGUGGUGGCCGAUAUUAUUGAGUCUAAAGGGUCCGUAGCCGGCUUUGCAAGUCUCUCGGGAAAUCCAGCGGCUUAACCGUUGGUCGUCCGGGGGGUACUACAUUGCUUGGGACUGGGAGGGGUAGGAGGUACUCAGGGGGUAGGAGUGAAAUCCUGUAAUCCUUUGGGGACCACCGGUGGCGAAGGCGUCCUACCAGAACAGGUCCGACGGUGAGGGACGAAAGCUAGGGGCACGAACCGGAUUAGAUACCCGGGUAGUCCUAGCCGUAAACGAUGCUCGCUAGGUGUCACAACAGUCGUGAACUGUUGUGGUGCCGUAGGGAAGCCGUGAAGCGAGCCACUUGGGAAGUACGACCGCAAGGUUGAAACUUAAAGGAAUCGGCGGGGGAGCACAAGGGCGAUUCGC
rnacentral:rRNA from 1 species